UACGUAGGGGGCGAGCGUUGCCCGGAUUCACUGGGCGUAAAGCGCGUGUAGGCGGUCUGUUAAGUCGGAUGUGAAAUCUCCGGGCUCAACCCGGAAACUGCAUCCGAUACUGGCAGACUUGAGGAUGGUAGAGGUCGGUGGAAUACCAGGUGUACCGGUGAAAUGGGCAGAUAUCUGGAGGAACACCGGUGGCGAAGGCGGCAUCCUGGACCGGCAUUGACGCUGAGGCGCGAAAGCUAGGGGAGCAAACGG
rnacentral:rRNA from 1 species